rnacentral:rRNA from 1 species
GCAGUAGCCGCGGGAAUACGAAGGGUGCAAGCGUUACUCGGAAUUACUGGGCGUAAAGCGUGCGUAGGUGGUGGUUUAAGUCCGUUGUGAAAGCCCUGGGCUCAACCUGGGAAUUGCAGUGGAUACUGGGUCACUAGAGUGUGGUAGAGGAUAGUGGAAUUUCCGGUGUAGCAGUGAAAUGCGUAGAGAUCGGAAGGAACAUCUGUGGCGAAGGCGACUAUCUGGGCCAACACUGACACUGAGGCACGAAAGCGUGGGGAGCAAACAGGAUUAGAUACCCCAGUAGUCCCUGUCUCUUAUAC